rnacentral:tRNA from 1 species
GGCAGCAAUCUAUAGGAGAAUACUAGCUUGCAAAGUUAGGAAACUCAGUUCGAAUCUGAGUGCUGCUU